UUAAUGGAGAGUUUGAUCCUGGCUCAGGACGAACGCUGGCGGCAUGCCUAAUACAUGCAAGUCGAGCGGAUUGGANCAGUUAGCGGCGGACGGGUGAGUAACACGUAGGCAACCUGCCUUUCAGCCUGGGAUAACUUCCGGAAACGGAUGCUAAUACCGGAUACAUCGUUUCUCCGCAUGGAGAGAUGAGGAAAGACGGCGCAAGCUGUCACUGAGAGAUGGGCCUGCGGCGCAUUAGCUAGUUGGUGGGGU
rnacentral:rRNA from 1 species